rnacentral:rRNA from 1 species
UACAGAGGUCCCAAGCGUUGUUCGGAUUCAUUGGGCGUAAAGGGUGCGUAGGUGGCGCCGUAAGUCGGGUGUGAAAUUUCGGAGCUUAACUCCGAAACUGCAUUCGAUACUGCGGUGCUUGAGGACUGGAGAGGAGACUGGAAUUCAUGGUGUAGCAGUGAAAUGCGUAGAGAUCUGCAGGAACAUCAGAGGCGAAGGCGACCACCUGGCCGAUUACUGACGCUGGGGAACGAAAGCGUGGGGAGCAAACAGG